AGUGAACGCUGGCGGUAGGCCUAACACAUGCAAGUCGAACGGCAGCACAGUAAGAGCUUGCUCUUACGGGUGGCGAGUGGCGGACGGGUGAGGAAUACAUCGGAAUCUACUUUUUCGUGGGGGAUAACGUAGGGAAACUUACGCUAAUACCGCAUACGACCUACGGGUGAAAGCAGGGGAUCUUCGGACCUUGCGCGAUUGAAUGAGCCGAUGUCGGAUUAGCUAGUUGGCGGGGUAAAGGCCCACCAAGGCGACGAUCCGUAGCUGGUCUGAGAGGAUGAUCAGCGACACGGGAACUGAGACACGGUCCAGACUCCUACGGGAGGCAGCAGUGGGGAAUAUUGGACAAUGGGCGCAAGCCUGAUCCAGCCAUACCGCGUGGGUGAAGAAGGCCUUCGGGUUGUAAAGCCCUUUUGUUGGGAAAGAAAAGCAGCAGGUUAAUACCCCGCUGUUCUGACGGUACCCAAAGAAUAAGCACCGGCUAACUUCGUG
rnacentral:rRNA from 1 species